AGAGUUUGAUCCUGGCUCAGAGCGAACGCUGGCGGCAGGCUUAACACAUGCAAGUCGAGCGGGCGUAGCAAUACGUCAGCGGCAGACGGGUGAGUAACGCGUGGGAACGUACCUUUUGGUUCGGAACAACACAGGGAAACUUGUGCUAAUACCGGAUAAGCCCUUACGGGGAAAGAUUUAUCGCCGAAAGAUCGGCCCGCGUCUGAUUAGCUAGUUGGUGAGGUAACGGCUCACCAAGGCGACGAUCAGUAGCUGGUCUGAGAGGAUGAUCAGCCACAUUGGGACUGAGACACGGCCCAAACUCCUACGGGAGGCAGCAGUGGGGAAUAUUGGACAAUGGGCGCAAGCCUGAUCCAGCCAUGCCGCGUGAGUGAUGAAGGCCCUAGGGUUGUAAAGCUCUUUUGUGCGGGAAGAUAAGGACGGUACCGCAAGAAUAAGCCCCGGCUAACUUCGUGCCAGCAGCCGCGGUAAUACGAAGGGGGCUAGCGUUGCUCGGAAUCACUGGGCGUAAAGGGUGCGUAGGCGGGUCUUUAAGUCAGGGGUGAAAUCCUGGAGCUCAACUCCAGAACUGCCUUUGAUACUGAAGAUCUUGAGUUCGGGAGAGGUGAGUGGAACUGCGAGUGUAGAGGUGAAAUUCGUAGAUAUUCGCAAGAACACCAGUGGCGAAGGCGGCUCACUGGCCCGAUACUGACGCUGAGGCACGAAAGCGUGGGAGCAAACAGGAUUAGAUACCCUGGUAGUCCACGCCGUAAACGAUGAAUGCCAGCCGUUAGUGGGUUUACUCACUAGUGGCGCAGCUA
rnacentral:rRNA from 1 species